rnacentral:rRNA from 1 species
GACGAACGCUGGCGGCGUGCCUAAUACAUGCAAGUCGAGCGCAGGAAAUCGACGGAACCCUUCGGGGGGAAGUCGACGGAAUGAGCGGCGGACGGGUGAGUAACACGUAAAGAACCUGCCCUCAGGUCUGGGAUAACCACGAGAAAUCGGGGCUAAUACCGGAUGGGUCAUCGGACCGCAUGGUCCGAGGAUGAAAGGCGCUCCGGCGUCGCCUGGGGAUGGCUUUGCGGUGCAUUAGCUAGUUGGUGGGGUAAUGGCCCACCAAGGCGACGAUGCAUAGCCGACCUGAGAGGGUGAUCGGCCACACUGGGACUGAGACACGGCCCAGACUCCUACGGGAGGCAGCAGUAGGGAAUCUUCCACAAUGGACGAAAGUCUGAUGGAGCAACGCCGCGUGAACGAUGAAGGCCUUCGGGUCGUAAAGUUCUGUUGUAAGGGAAGAACAAGUGCCGCAGGCAAUGGCGGCACCUUGACGGUACCUUGCGAGAAAGCCACGGCUAACUACGUGCCAGCAGCCGCCGUAACAC